rnacentral:rRNA from 1 species
UACGGAGGGUGCAAGCGUUAUCCGGAUUUACUGGGUUUAAAGGGUGCGUAGGUGGAUAAUUAAGUCAGUGGUGAAAUCUUCAGGCUUAACCUGGAAACUGCCAUUGAUACUAUUUAUCUUGAAUACUUUGGAGGUAAGCGGAAUAUGUCAUGUAGCGGUGAAAUGCUUAGAUAAUGACAUAGAACACCAAUUGCGAAGGCAGCUUACUACACAGUA